rnacentral:tRNA from 1 species
GCCGGAGUGGCGGAAUGGCAGACGCACGCGACUCAAAAUCGCGCGGAGUUAACUCUCCUUGGGGGUUCAAGUCCCCCCUCCGGCACCA